AUGGCGGGUUGGAAACAUUGCAGCGUUCCCCAUGAAUACGCACAAUUAUUAUUUGUCAAUUCAAAAGAUAAACAUGUGGGUGCGUCUAAGCAUUUCUGUGUCUUAUGGGAGACAUUAAAAUUAGUUUCAUCUGAAGCCAGUUCCACAAACUCUUCACAAAGGCUUCUUUGUGAUAUCCCCGUUUCAUUGUUGAGAAACAGCAGCAAAGCCAGUGAACCGUCAUCUCUGCCGCUUUCUUCACCUUCCUGCCUCUGCCAGGGCCAUGUCGUUGCUUUCGCCCACACGCAGACCCCAGCCCCUGCUGCCGUCACCCGACUGGAAAGGGAGAGAGCCCAGCAGAAGACGGAGGGCUCACAGCAGGAUAUCCGUAAUCAACGCAGAUAUCGUCCUUUCCAUGGGCUGUGGUUUCCUACACACACCAAGUUCGACUGGAGCUAGGAAGUAUCAAAGAGCUGUAUUUGUGAGUCCUUUGGCAAUGGACAAAGAUCAUCCUAUAUAGAAAUAAGACUUGGGAUGAGGGAAAGUGCAAUAGAAGUGUUGUGACUACUAACACUGGUUAGUUUAUAAAACCUCAUAAAUGCUCAGAAGCCUGUGAAAAGAAAAAUGGAAAGAUUUUCCAGAAGAAAAACUAGAAUUUCAACAGUAAGACGCCCUUACAAAAACCAGUUAUGCCACUGAAGAUUUUAAAAAUUCAUUUGCCACAGAAAGAUGCUCCAUACCCCAUCCUAAAGAUCUUAGAGAUUAUGGCGGAUUUCUACAGAUGUGUCAGUUCAACAUGACUUGCACACUUUACUGAUGCGCAGGAGGCUUUGACUAUGUGAAUUCUGAGUCAAAUCCCUCUUCUGAAAGGUCAGACCAUGCACACCCAGGCCCCCGUUCAAAACCAGCGCUUUCAGGACCAGCACUGCCCGUUGAGGAGAGAGCUGACAUAGUAUGCUCCAUGAUGAAUGAAAAGUCUGCCGAGUGUUAAGCCCAGCUGCAAAACCACAGCAUAAUUGCUUGAAGUCAAGAAUGCGACUUUCUCCCUUUAAAAGUCACCGCGUGUUCUCACUCAUAGGUGGGUGUUGAACAAUGAGAACACGUGGACUCAGGGAGGGGAGCAUCACAUGCUGGGGGCAGUUGAGGGGGUAGGGGAGAGACAGCAGGAGGUGGGGAGGGUGGGGAGGGACAACAUGGGGAGAAAUGCCAGAUAUAGUAUGCACCCAAAGUUAAAUAAAUAAAUUUAAAAAAAUGAUAGAAUUAAAUUU
rnacentral:lncRNA from 13 species